UAAAUAGCAGGUUACAGCUCCCGCUCGGCGCGCACACGCUCACACGCGAACGCAGGAAAGUCAGGCUAAAAGUGUCUGCUGCUGCCGCUGUCGCCCCCCGCUCCGCCUCCGGGAGAGAACUCAAAGAAAUGGUGUUACCUGGCAAUAGAUCUGCUGUCUUUUAUGAAAAAUCAGGCCAAGGAAUCAAGAUCCUCCACUGAGUGAGACGGUAUAUGUUAGGAGGGUGCUUGAGGAUAACAUUGAAGUUUUGGAGUUGUCAUUUCGUAGAAG